AGGGAGGUAGGGAGCUUGCUCAGUAUUGAUGAUUGGCUCUCAUCAUUUCCAUUGUUCCUCACCUGCAAGGAGACUGGAGAUUCAAGAAUUCAUAACUAAUUGCAAAACAGCAAGGAACCGGUCUAAAUUGCUAGACUGGCUUGUCUGUAAUGGUACAUCUUGUUCUUGCUCUCUCUUUUUACGACCACAUUAUUUCAGAUUUCCAGGUGACCAGGAAGCCUGUGACCAGGGACUGCCAACAGGGGAGCAGUUUUCAGGCAGUUGCUGUAGGCAAGAGGAGGGAGGAAGAAGGAGGAGAGAAGCCAGGCCAGGCACCAGAUCCUUCCCAGCAAUGGACCAGACAUCACGGGAAAGUCCCAAGACAGCUGAAUGGAGGAUGGUCACCUCUAGAGCUAGACAGUGUGCGGCUGUGACUGCUUCCCCAAUGCAACUGGGGAACAGAUACAAAGCCCUGGCAGGACUGGAGGAUGAUGCAGCAGAGGAAGCCACAGGAGAAGACACAUCCACAACAAACACCAGGCAGGCUGAGUGACAAUUGAGCACUUGAGAGGAAAAGAUGCCAGGUCAUCAUGGUGGGCAACUCCCUUCUGAAAGGCAUGGAGGGGCCUAUCUCUUGAUCGGAUCCCACAGCAUGGAAGGUUUGCUGCCUACCCAGAAUCCGGAUCCGGGACAUCACUGCGAGGAUUCCCAAACUCAUCCAGCCCUCUGAUUACUAUCCCAUGGUCCUCAUCCAUGUGGGCACAAAUGAUGUGGCCAGGAGUAGAUUACGUCAUCAGUGACUACAGAGUUCUGGGGACCAGGCUUAAGAAGUCAGGGGUACAGGUGGUCUUCUCAUCCAUCCUUCCGGUCAGCAGUCACCAUCAGCAUCAAGACACCUGCAUCAGGGAAAUCAACCUGCAGCUCCGGAGUUGGUGCCAUCGUGUGGCUUUUGGCUUCUACAACCACAAUCCACACUUGCAUGAGAGAGGCAUCCUGGGAAGAGAUGGUCUUCAUCUCUCUUCUAAAGUUAGAGUCUGUUCCCUUCAGGUUGCCUGAUCUCCAAUGAAGGGCUUUAAACUAGGUUUGUUGUUGGGGGGGGGGGGGGG